rnacentral:rRNA from 1 species
UGGGGGAUAUUGCACAAUGGGCGAAAGCCUGAUGCAGCGACGCCGCGUGAGGGAAGACGGUUUUCGGAUUGUAAACCUCUGUCUUCGGGGACGAAAAUGACGGUACCCGAGGAGGAAGCCACGGCUAACUACGUGCCAGCAGCCGCGGUAAUACGUAGGUGGCAAGCGUUGUCCGGAAUGACUGGGCGUAAAGGGUGUGUAGGCGGUUUUACAAGUUAGAUGUGAAAUACCCAGGGCUUAACUCGGGUGCUGCAUCUAAGACUGUAAGACUUGAGUGUCGGAGAGGUAAAUGGAAUUCCUAGUGUAGCGGUGGAAUGCGUAGAUAUUAGGAGGAACACCAGUGGCGAAGGCGAUUUACUGGACGAUAACUGACGCUGAGGCACGAAAGCGUGGGGAGCAAACAGGAUUAGAUACCCUGGUAGU